rnacentral:lncRNA from 1 species
GGGUGGAGUGGAGAGUGUGGAGGGCAGUGUGGGUGGAGUGGAGAGUGAGGAGGGCAGUGUGAGGACAGUGGAGAGUGAGGAGGGCAGUGGAGAGUGUUGAGGGCAGUGUGAGGACAGUGGAGAGUGAGGAGGACAGUGUGGGGACAGUGGAGAGUGUUGAGGGCAGUGUGGGUGCAGUUGAGAGUGUGGAGGGCAGUGUAGGUGCAGUGUAGAGGGGCUGACACCGUGUGGUGGGCCACCUGCUUCCCCUCCUUACUCUGGGCACUGGCCAUGAUGGGUUACAAUGUGGUCAGGGCCUCUCGGGAGGUGCCACUCAGUGAGUGACCUCACCCGGGCCAGAUGGUGACCAUAAGCCGGUUGCUACCUCUG